rnacentral:rRNA from 1 species
AACGAACGCUGGCGGCAUGCCUAACACAUGCAAGUCGAACGAGACCUUCGGGUCUAGUGGCGCACGGGUGCGUAACGCGUGGGAACCUGCCCUUAGGUUCGGAAUAACUCCCCGAGAGGGGUGCUAAUACCGGAUAAUGUCUUCGGACCAAAGAUUUAUCGCCUUUGGAUGGGCCCGCGUUGGAUUAGCUAGUUGGUAGGGUAAAAGCCUACCAAGGCGACGAUCCAUAGCUGGUCUGAGAGGAUGAUCAGCCACACUGGGACUGAGACACGGCCCAGACUCCUACGGGAGGCAGCAGUGGGGAAUAUUGGACAAUGGGCGAAAGCCUGAUCCAGCAAUGCCGCGUGAGUGAUGAAGGCCUUAGGGUUGUAAAGCUCUUUUACCCGGGAUGAUAAUGACAGUACCGGGAGAAUAAGCUCCGGCUAACUCCGUG